rnacentral:pre_miRNA from 1 species
UAUGGGGAGAGGGUCCCUCAGCUGGGAUUGCAAGAGGUUGCAGGCCAGGCUGAGAGACCCCAUCUGUGCACG